GGCAUGGAUAUGGCAUCCCUGGCACAAACACAGCAUCCCUGGCUUGGUGAUGGUGGCACUGCUGGCACAGACACGGCAUCUCUGGCACGGCCAUGAUGGCAUCCUGGCAAUGGUCAUGAUGGCAGCCUUGGCACAGACACGAUGGCAUCCCUGGCAGCCUUGGCACUGUCACGAUGGCAUCCCUGGUAUGGACAUAAUGGCAUCCCUGGCACAGCCAUGAUGUCAUCCCUGCCAUCCCUGGCACAGACACGAUGGCACCCCUGGCACGGCCAUGAUGGCAUCCCUGGCACAGACACAAUGGCAUCCUUGGCAGCCUUGGCACUGUCACGACGGCACCCCUGGCACAGCCAUGAUGUCAUCCCAGCCACCCCUGGCACUUUCACGACGACACCCCUGCCAUCCCUGGCACUGUCACGACGGCACCCCUGGCACGGCCACGAUGUCAUCCCAGCCACCCCUGGCACUGUCACGACGGCACCCCCAAACCCAUCACCCCCCGUUUCCCCACUCACACUCGACGGUGACGUCGACGCUGCGCCGCGCCGAUCCGUGCCGGUUGGUGGCUGUGCAGACGUAACGCCCGGCGUCGCCGCGGCUGACGGUGCCGCCAUCCUCACCCCCCGGGGGUCCCCCGUGGCGGGCGCAGUGCGUGGUGGGCGCUGGGUCCCCCUCGGCGUCGCACGGCAGCUCCCGGCGCUGGCCCUCCAACCAGGUGCGGUGCGCCGGGCAGCCGAGCUCCGAGAGCGAGGGCUCAUCUGGGGGGCGAAGGGAGGCGGGGAGGGAAGCGUGGGGUGGUCGGAUCGUGGGAUCGGGGAGGUGAGGGAUCAGCACGUCGUGGCAUCGGCAAGAAGGGGAAUCGGUGAAUCGCGGGGCGGACAAAUCGCCAGAUCACAGGGCAGCCAAAUCGUGGCAUCGACGCGUCACCAAAGCAGUCGCCAAAUCACGGGAUCACCAAAUCAUGGGAUCACCAAAUCACGGGAUCACCAAAUCAUGGGAUCACCAAAUCACGGGAUCACAAAAUCACAGGACCACCAAAUCAUGGGAUCAACAAAUCAUGGAAUCACCAAAUCAUGGGAUAACACAACCAUGGGAUCACCAAAUCAAUCUCCAAAUCAUGGGAUCACCAAGUCCCAGGACCACCAAAUCACGGGAUCACAAAAUCACGGGAUCACAAAAUCACCAAAUCAAUUGCCAAAUCACGGGAUCACAAAAUCAUGGGAUCAGAAAAUCAUGGGAUCACAAAAUCAUGGGAUCAUCAAAUCACCAAAUCAAUCACCAAAUGACAGGAUUGACUGAAUUAUGGGAUCACCAAAUCAUAGAAUCCCACAAUCACAUAAUUAAUUAUGGACUCCCACAAUCACAUAAUUAAUUACGGGCUCCCACAAUCACAUGAUUAAUCAUGGGCUCCCACAAUCACAUAAUUAAUUACAGACUCCCACAGUCACAUAAUUAAUUACAGGCUCCCACAAUCAAAUGAUUAAUCACGGGCUCCCACAAUCACAUGAUUAAUCACGGGCUCCCACAAUCACGUAAUUAAUUAC
rnacentral:lncRNA from 1 species